rnacentral:rRNA from 1 species
AGAGGCUUGUAUGAAUGGCUGAAUGAGAUAAAAACUGUCUUAAUUUAAAAUAAAUUUGAAUUUUAAUUUUUAGUAAAAAUGCUAAAAUUUUUGUAAAAGACGAGAAGACCCUAUAAAUCUUUAUUUUUAUAAAAAUAUUUUUUAAUGUAUAAAAAAUAAAUGUUUAUUUUUAGAAAAAUUAUAUUGGGGUGAUAAUGAAAUUUAAUAAACUUUCAUGGUUUUUAAAUAUUUAUAAAUAGUUUAAUGAUCCAGUUAUAU